AACGGGAUUUAGUAAACAGAAGCUUCGGUGGAAGAUUACUAAUGAGAGUGGCGAACGGGUGAGUAACGCGUGAGCAACCUGCCUAUGACAGUGGGAUAGCCUCGGGAAACCGGGAUUAAUACCGCAUAAAAUCGUAGAAACACAUGUUUUAACGGUCAAAGAUUUAUCGGUCAUAGAUGGGCUCGCGUCUGAUUAGCUAGUUGGUGAGAUAACAGCCCACCAAGGCGACGAUCAGUAGCCGGUCUGAGAGGAUGAACGGCCACAUUGGAACUGAGACACGGUCCAAACUCCUACGGGAGGCAGCAGUGGGGAAUAUUGCACAAUGGGGGAAACCCUGAUGCAGCGACGCCGCGUGAACGAAGAAGGUAUUCGUAUCGUAAAGUUCUGUCCUAUGGGAAGAUAAUGACAGUACCAUAGAAGAAAGCUCCGGCUAAAUAC
rnacentral:rRNA from 1 species